rnacentral:lncRNA from 1 species
CUCCUUUUUGGAUGUGAUUGAGCCAAAAAUAUCAGACAGCUUCUGAGCUGGGGGUGGGAGGCCACAUGAGAUGGAGAAGCAGGGCACACCCUGACCUCAGGGACAUGGCCCGCACGGUCUCCCCAGGACCCCUCCUCCACCUCUGCCCAGGUCUGCCCUCUCCACUUGGUCAUCAGUACCUGAUCUGGCUGCAACUUUCACCAUUCGUUCGUUCAUUCAUUCAUCCACCUCCCCAAUGCCCCCCAAGCAGCUCCCCGCACAAGGCCUGUUCUGUGACUUACCCCCCUACAGGAGCCCGUCACCCAUGUCACUGGGACAGCCUUGCUGGGAGGACACGCAGGCCCAUCCUUCCUGGGUCGAAGCCGAGCGUUGUGCCUUCUGCCCUCCUGCAGCAGUGUGACCUGAUCCCCAAAUACCCAGACACACAGCCCUGCACUGGCUCACCUGCUGGCCCCUUCGUCACUCUGACUGGUGGCUCUUGGGUAUUUGCUCAUACCCUUACCGUGUGGGGCUGGGCUUCCUGGGGUAUGAGGUGUCCUGCAUUCACUCUGGCCAACUCUGUGAUGAAAAAGGAGAAGUUUCCAGCUGGAACCCAUCUCCAUCUUGUUUCCGCUCACCUGUCCCCGAACCAGAGAGCCGCAGGACAAGCCCAACCUCCAAAGCUGCCCUCUUCUCCUGAGUGGCUCUUAGUGUCUUCAUCUAAAGUGUGA